AGAGCGCAGGGCGAAUGCCUUGGCACUGGGAGCCGACGAAGGACGUGAUAAGCUGCGAUAAGCCGCGGGGAGGAGCAAAUAUCCAUUGAGCCGCGGAUUUCCGAAUGGAGAAAUCCGUAUGGAGAAGUCCAUACAUCAUAUACUGAAUGCAUAGGUAUAUGAGGGAAACCGCCUGAACUGAAACAUCUAAGUAGGGCGAGGAAAAGAAAUCAACCGAGAUACCGCAAGUAGUGGCGAGCGAACGCGGCAGAGGCCAAACCGGGAGUAGAAAUACUCCCGGGGUUGCGGACUGCAUUUAGCAUUGUAGAUCUUUAACCGAAGGGCAUGGGAAGGCCCACCGAAGAACGUGAGAGUCGUGUAGGUGAAAAGGAGAAACAGCGAGCAGGAUCCAGAGUACCGCGGGACACGAGGAAUCCCGUGGGAAGCCGGGGGGACCACCCUCCAAGCCUAAAUACUACCCAGUGACCGAUAGCGUAUAGUACUGUGAAGGAAAGGUGAAAAGGACCCCGGGAGGGGAGUGAAAUAGAACCUGAAACCUUGUGCCUACAAGCACAUAGAGCACAUCAACGUGUGAUAUGGUACUUUUUGUAGAACGGUCCGGCGAGCGAUUGUAUGUUGCGAGCUUAAGGUCUUAAGGACUGGAGGCGUAGCGAGAGCGAGUCUGAACAGGGCGUUCAGUAGCAUGCAAUGGGCCCGAAACCGGGUGACCUACCCAUGAUCAGGCUGAAGUGAAAGUAAAAUUUCAUGGAGGGCCGAACCGACCUCCGUUGAAAAGGCGGCGGAUGAAUUGUGGGUAGCGGAGAAAUUCCAAUCGAACUCGGAGAUAGCUGGUUCUCCCCGAAAUAGCUUUAGGGCUAGCCUCAUAUUAGAUACCCGGAGGUAAAGCACUGAAUGGCCUAGCGCCCGAGAGGGUAGCGAAGCCUAUCAAACUAAGAAUGCCGGAGUAUUGAUGUAUGGGAGUCAGACAGUGUGAGAUAAAUCUCAUUGUCAAAAGGGAAACAGCCCAGAUCUACAGCUAAGGUCCCAAAUUGUAUCUAAGUGGAAAACGAUGUGGAAAUACGCAGACAACCAGGAUGUUGGCUCAGAAGCAGCCACUCAUUUAAAGAGUGCGUAAUAGCUCACUGGUCGAGUGAUCCUGCGCCGAAAAUUUCCGGGGCUAAAACGUACUACCGAAGCUACGGCAUCAUUUAUGAUGGGUAGGGGAGCUUCGUAUGCAGGCUGAAGCAUGACCGUAAGGACAUGUGGACAGUAUACGAGUGAGAAUGUUGGCAUGAGUAGCGAGACGUGGGUGAGAAUCCCACGGGCCGUAAACCCAAGGUUUCCAGGGGAAGGUUCGUCCGCCCUGGGUUAGUCGGGACCUAAGCCGAGGCCGAAAGGCGUAGGUGAUGGACAACAGGUUGAUAUUCCUGUACCGCCAAUAAGCGUUUGAGAGAUGGAGUGACACAGUAGGAUAAGCUAACCGUACUGUUGGUUAUGUACGGCUAAGCAUUGAGGCAGUCUAAAUAGGCAAAUCCGUUUGGACAAUGCUAGGAUGUGAUGGGGAAGCCCUUCGGGGCGAAGUAGCUGAUUUCACACUGUCAAGAAAAGCUUCUAUCGAGUUUAAAGGCGCCCGUACCGUAAACCGACACAGGUGGGUGAGGAGAGUAUCCUAAGGCCAGCGAGAGAACUAUUGUUAAGGAACUCGGCAAAAUGACCCCGUAACUUAGGGAGAAGGGGUGCCUGUCUAUGACAGGCCGCAGAGAAUAGGCCCAAGCGACUGUUUACCAAAAACACAGGUUUCUGCUAAGUCGCAAGACGAUGUAUAGGAGCUGACGCCUGCCCGGUGCUGGAAGGUUAAGGGGAUCUGUUAGAGCAAUCGAAGCAGUGAACUUAAGCCCCAGUAAACGGCGGCCGUAACUAUAACGGUCCUAAGGUAGCGAAAUUCCUUGUCGGGUAAGUUCCGACCCGCACGAAAGGCGUAAUGAUUUGGGCACUGUCUCGACAAUGCAUCCGGUGAAAUUGAAGUACCAGUGAAGAUGCUGGUUACCUGCGCCAGGACGGAAAGACCCCAUGGAGCUUUACUCUAGCUUGAUACUGGGAUUCGAUAUUGCAUGUACAGGAUAGGUGGGAGACUAGGAGACAUGAACGCCAGUUUGUGUGGAGUCGUCCUUGGGAUACCACCCUUGCAGUAUUGGGUUUCUAACAUGCAGCCGUGAUCCGGCUGGUGGACAAUGUCAGGUGGGGAGUUUGACUGGGGCGGUCGCCUCCGAAAGGGUAUCGGAGGCGCUCAAAGGUUCCCUCAGAAUGGUCGGAAACCAUUCGAAGAGUGCAAAGGCAGAAGGGAGCUUGACUGUGACACCGACGGGUGGAGCAGGUACGAAAGUAGGACUUAGUGAUCCGGUGGUAUAAAGUGGGAUUGCCAUCGCUCAACGGAUAAAAGCUACCCUGGGGAUAACAGGCUUAUCACUCCCAAGAGUUCACAUCGACGGAGUGGUUUGGCACCUCGAUGUCGGCUCAUCGCAUCCUGGGGCUGUAGCAGGUCCCAAGGGUUGGGCUGUUCGCCCAUUAAAGCGGUACGCGAGCUGGGUUCAGAACGUCGUGAGACAGUUCGGUCCCUAUCCGGCGUGGGCGUAGGAUAUUUGAGAGGAGCUGUCCUUAGUACGAGAGGACCGGGAUGGACUGACCUCUGGUGUACCUGUUGCACUACCAAGUGCAUGGCAGGGUAGCCAAGUCGGGAAGGGAUAAACGCUGAAGGCAUCUAAGCGUGAAGCCCCCCUCAAGAUGAGAUAUCCCAUUCGCAAGAAUUAAGACCCCUUGA
rnacentral:rRNA from 1 species